rnacentral:tRNA from 1 species
AGCCGGGUGGCGCAGGCAGGCAGCGCGCCGGGCUCAUAACCCGGAGGUCGGUGGUUCAAAUCCACCCCCGGCUACCA